rnacentral:rRNA from 1 species
UACGAAGGGUGCAAACGUUGCUCGGAAUUAUUGGGCGUAAAGCGCACGUAGGCGGCUUGGCAAGUCGGAUGUGAAAUCCCUCGGCUCAACCAAGGAAGUGCAUCCGAAACUGCUGAGCUUGAGUACUUAAGAGGAUCGCGGAAUUCCCGGUGUAGAGGUGAAAUUCGUAGAUAUUCGGAAGAACACCAGUGGCGAAGGCGACUUACUGGACACAUACUGACGCUGAGGUGCGAAAGCGUGGGGAGCAAACAGG